rnacentral:rRNA from 1 species
UACAGAGGUGCCGAGCGUUAGGCGGAAUCACUGGGCUUAAAGCGUGUGUAGGCGGAUUCCUAAGUACCUUGUGAAAUCCCACGGCUCAACCGUGGAACUGCUCGGUAUACUGGGUAUCUUGAGCCACUUAGGGGCGACCGGAACAAAUGGUGGAGCGGUGAAAUGCGCAGAUAUCAUUUGGAACGCCAAUGGUGAAAACAGGUCGCUGGGAGUGUGCUGACGCUGAGACACGAAAGCCAGGGGAGCAAACGGG